rfam:Schistosoma rodhaini strain Burundi genome assembly, scaffold: SROB_scaffold0016611
AUCCAGCUGACGAGUCCUAAGUAGGACGAAACGCGCGUCCUGGAU